rnacentral:rRNA from 1 species
UACAGAGGUCCCAAGCGUUGUUCGGAUUCACUGGGCGUAAAGGGUGCGUAGGUGGUCGGGUAAGUCUGAUGUGAAAUCUCCGAGCUCAACUCGGAAAUGGCAUUGGAUACUAUUCGGCUAGAGGAUUGGAGGGGGGACUGGAAUACUUGGUGUAGCAGUGAAAUGCGUAGAUAUCAAGUGGAACACCAGUGGCGAAGGCGAGUCCCUGGACAGAUCCUGACGCUGAGGCACGAAAGCUAGGGGAGCAAACAGG